rnacentral:rRNA from 1 species
UCUUCCCUACGGGGGGCAGCAGUGGGGAAUAUUGCACAAUGGGGGAAACCCUGAUGCAGCAACGCCGCGUGAGUGAAGAAGUAUUUCGGUAUGUAAAGCUCUAUCAGCAGGGAAGAAGAUGACGGUACCUGAUUAAGAAGCCCCGGCUAACUACGUGCCAGCAGCCGCGGUAAUACGGAGGAUGCGAGCGUUAUCCGGAUUUAUUGGGUUUAAAGGGUGCGCAGGCGGCACGGCAAGCCGGCGGUCAAAUCGCGGGGCUCAACCCCGCCCAGCCGUCGGAACUGCCGGGCUAGAGUGGGCGAGAA